CAAACUGCCACAUUUGGCCUCUUUGUGUUUGAAGAGGCGUAGAAACUACAGCUGAACACGUUUGGUUUGAGGCUUUCUCUUAAUCGACACAUUUGCUGGAGUUUGAUCCUCGACUCCCUCCUUGUCUCCCUCAGUUAGUUAUGAUUGUUGCUGGAAAUGUUAGUGCUGCCAUUUUUGUUCAUGUUUAAGAUGGUUUCCAUCAUGUUUUCACAUGCCAGGCCCUUUAAGGUUCUUCUCACAGUUUGAAACUUGCUAAAAUGAUAUAAACUUUGAUAAGAGGCGUGUAACCUUGUUGCAAAGUUAAGUUAUAUAAAUAAAAUUAAUAUUGGACAAACAGUGGGUUAUCAUUAGUCAGACUAAUCUAUUCUGUAGGAUUGACUUUUGAUCUGGCAGGCUGAUUACUGAUGCCAAUAUUUUGUAUUUGGCCUGCACUUUUUUUUCUUGGUCACCAAUGAACACAAACCAAGCAGUAUGCUACUUUGGGGUAAAUGUAUGUAUUUCCCUAUGGGUCUGUUUUCAUCCAAUAUUCAUGUUUAAGAUGGUUUCCAUCAUGUUUUUACAUGCCAGGCCCUUUAAGGUUCUUCCUACUGUUUGAAACUUGCUGAAUUUAUAUAAACUUUGAUAAGAAGCGUG